rnacentral:rRNA from 1 species
GAUGAACGCUGGCGGCGUGCCUAAUACAUGCAAGUCGAGCGAACAGACGAGGAGCUUGUUCCUUUGACGUUAGCGGCGGACGGGUGAGUAACACGUGGAUAACCUACCUAUAAGACUGGGAUAACUUCGGGAAACCGGAGCUAAUACCGGAUAAUAUAUUGAACCGCAUGGUUCAAUAGUGAAAGACGGUUUUGCUGUCACUUAUAGAUGGAUCCGCGCCGCAUUAGCUAGUUGGUAAGGUAACGGCUUACCAAGGCGACGAUGCGUAGCCGAACUGAGAGGGUGAUCGGCCACACUGGAACUGAGACACGGUCCAGACUCCUACGGGAGGCAGCAGUAGGGAAUCUUCCGCAAUGGGCGAAAGCCUGACGGAGCAACGCCGCGUGAGUGAUGAAGGUCUUCGGAUCGUAAAACUCUGUUAUUAGGGAAGAACAAAUGUGUAAGUAACUAUGCACGUCUUGACGGUACCUAAUCAGAAAGCCACGGCUAACUACGUG